rnacentral:rRNA from 1 species
AGUCAACAUGCCCAGGGGACGUGGAUAACCUCGGGAAACUGAGGAUAAACCGCGAUAGGUCAUCACUUCUGGAAUGGGUAAUGACUUAAACCUAUAUGGCCCCUGGAUUGGACUGCGGCCGAUCAGGCUGUUGGUGAGGUAAUGGCCCACCAAACCUGUAACCGGUACGGGCUCUGAGAGGAGGAGCCCGGAGAUGGGCACUGAGACAAGGGCCCAGGCCCUAUGGGGCGCAGCAGGCGCGAAACCUCUGCAAUAGGCGAAAGCUUGACAGGGUUACUCUGAGUGAUUUCCGUUAAGGAGAUCUUUUGGCACCUCUAAAAAUGGUGCAGAAUAAGGGGUGGGCAAGUCUGGUGUCAGCCGCCGCGGUAAUACCAGCACCCCGAGUGGUCGGGACGUUUAUUGGGCCUAAAGCAUCCGUAACCGGUUCUACAAGUCUUCCAUUAAAUCCACCUGCUUAACAGAUGGGCUGCGGAAGAUACUAUAGAGCUAGGAGGCGGGAGAGGCAAGCGGUACUCGAUGGGUAGGGGUAAAAUCCGUUGAUCCAUUGAAGACCACCAGUGGCGAAGGCGGCUUGCCAGAACGCGCUCGACGGUGAGGGAUGAAAGCUGGGGGAGCAAACCGGAUUAGAUACCCGGGUAGUCCCAGCUGUAAACGAUGCAGACUCGGUGAUGAGUUGGCUUAUUGCUAACUCAGUGCCGCAGGGAAGCCGUUAAGUUUGCCGCCUGGGGAGUACGGUCGCAAGACUGAAACUUAA